AUACCAUGAUGAGGGUACUUCCUUAACAACUCCUUCAAUCUUUCCCAUGCAUCAUACAGUGAUUCCCCCUCCAUCUGAAAAAAAUUAUUAAUUUCACCUCUCAACUU